rnacentral:rRNA from 1 species
GGGCGUUAAGUUGCAGGGUAUAGACCCGAAACCCGGUGAUCUAGCCAUGGGCAGGUUGAAGGUUGGGUAACACUAACUGGAGGACCGAACCGACUAAUGUUGAAAAAUUAGCGGAUGACCUGUGGCUGGGGGUGAAAGGCCAAUCAAACCGGGAGAUAGCUGGUUCUCCCCGAAAGCUAUUUAGGUAGCGCCUCGUGAAUUCAUCUCCGGGGGUAGAGCACUGUUUCGGCUAGGGGGCCAUCCCGGCUUACCAACCCGAUGCAAACUGCGAAUACCGGAGAAUGUUAUCACGGGAGACACACGGCGGGUGCUAACGUCCGUCGUGAAGAGGGAAACAACCCAGACCGCCAGCUAAGGUCCCAAAGUCAUGGUUAAGUGGGAAACGAUGUGGGAAGGCCCAGACAGCCAGGAUGUUGGCUUAGAAGCAGCCAUCAUUUAAAGAAAGCGUAAUAGCUCACUGGUCGAGUCGGCCUGCGCGGAAGAUGUAACGGGGCUAAACCAUGCACCGAAGCUGCGGCAGCGACACUCAGGUGUUGUUGGGUAGGGGAGCGUUCUGUAAGCCUGUGAAGGUGUGUCGUGAGGCAUGCUGGAGGUAUCAGAAGUGCGAAUGCUGACAUAAGUAACGAUAAAGCGGGUGAAAAGCCCGCUCGCCGGAAGACCAAGGGUUCCUGUCCAACGUUAAUCGGGGCAGGGUGAGUCGACCCCUAAGGCGAGGCCGAAAGGCGUAGUCGAUGGGAAACGGGUUAAUAUUCCCGUACUUGGUGUUACUGCGAAGGGGGGACGGAGAAGGCUAUGUUGGCCGGGCGACGGUUGUCCCGGUUUAAGCGUGUAGGUGUGUGUUCCAGGUAAAUCCGGUUCACUUUAACACUGAGGCGUGACGACGAGGCACUACGGUGCUGAAGCAACAAAUGCCCUGCUUCCAGGAAAAGCCUCUAAGCAUCAGGUAACAUCAAAUCGUACCCCAAACCGACACAGGUGGUCAGGUAGAGAAUACCAAGGCGCUUGAGAGAACUCGGGUGAAGGAACUAGGCAAAAUGGUGCCGUAACUUCGGGAGAAGGCACGCUGACAUGUAGGUGAAGUGAUUUACUCAUGGAGCUGAAGUCAGUCGAAGAUACCAGCUGGCUGCAACUGUUUAUUAAAAACACAGCACUGUGCAAACACGAAAGUGGACGUAUACGGUGUGACGCCUGCCCGGUGCCGGAAGGUUAAUUGAUGGGGUCAGCGCAAGCGAAGCUCCUGAUCGAAGCCCCGGUAAACGGCGGCCGUAACUAUAACGGUCCUAAGGUAGCGAAAUUCCUUGUCGGGUAAGUUCCGACCUGCACGAAUGGCGUAAUGAUGGCCAGGCUGUCUCCACCCGAGACUCAGUGAAAUUGAACUCGCUGUGAAGAUGCAGUGUACCCGCGGCAAGACGGAAAGACCCCGUGAACCUUUACUAUAGCUUGACACUGAACAUUGAGCCUUGAUGUGUAGGAUAGGUGGGAGGCUUUGAAGCGUGGACGCCAGUCUGCGUGGAGCCGACCUUGAAAUACCACCCUUUAAUGUUUGAUGUUCUAACGUGGACCCGUUACCCGGGUUGCGGACAGUGUCUGGUGGGUAGUUUGACUGGGGCGGUCUCCUCCUAAAGAGUAACGGAGGAGCACGAAGGUUGGCUAAUCCUGGUCGGACAUCAGGAGGUUAGUGCAAUGGCAUAAGCCAGCUUGACUGCGAGCGUGACGGCGCGAGCAGGUGCGAAAGCAGGUCAUAGUGAUCCGGUGGUUCUGAAUGGAAGGGCCAUCGCUCAACGGAUAAAAGGUACUCCGGGGAUAACAGGCUGAUACCGCCCAAGAGUUCAUAUCGACGGCGGUGUUUGGCACCUCGAUGUCGGCUCAUCACAUCCUGGGGCUGAAGUAGGUCCCAAGGGUAUGGCUGUUCGCCAUUUAAAGUGGUACGCGAGCUGGGUUUAGAACGUCGUGAGACAGUUCGGUCCCUAUCUGCCGUGGGCGCUGGAGAACUGAGGGGGGCUGCUCCUAGUACGAGAGGACCGGAGUGGACGCAUCACUGGUGUUCGGGUUGUCAUGCCAAUGGCACUGCCCGGUAGCUAAAUGCGGAAGAGAUAAGUGCUGAAAGCAUCUAAGCACGAAACUUGCCCCGAGAUGAGUUCUCCCUGAGACUUAGAGUCUCCUGAAGGAACGUUGAAGACGACGACGUUGAUAGGCCGGGUGUGUAAGCGCAGCGAUGCGUUGAGCUAACCGGUACUAAUGAACCGUGAGGCUUAACCUU